rnacentral:rRNA from 1 species
GACGAACGCUGGCGGCGUGCUUAACACAUGCAAGUCGAACGGAAAGGCCCUGCUUUUGUGGGGUGCUCGAGUGGCGAACGGGUGAGUAACACGUGAGUAACCUGCCCUUGACUCUGGGAUAACUUCAGGAAACUGGGGCUAAUACCGGAUAGGAGCCCCUGCUGCAUGGUGGGGGUUGGAAAGUUUCGGCGGUUGGGGAUGGACUCGCGGCUUAUCAGCUUGUUGGUGGGGUAGUGGCUUACCAAGGCUUUGACGGGUAGCCGGCCUGAGAGGGUGACCGGCCACAUUGGGACUGAGAUACGGCCCAGACUCCUACGGGAGGCAGCAGUGGGGAAUAUUGCACAAUGGGCGGAAGCCUGAUGCAGCAACGCCGCGUGCGGGAUGACGGCCUUCGGGCUGUAAACCGCUUUCGCCUGUGACGAAGCGUGAGUGACGGUAAUGGGUAAAGAAGCACCGGCUAACUACGUG